CAAAUUAUUCUUGGAGUUAAGAUAUUCAUUUACAUUGAAUUUAUUUAUCGUGCAAGUCGAUAUAAUUUGA
rnacentral:tRNA from 1 species